rnacentral:rRNA from 1 species
AUUGAACGCUGGCGGCAGGCCUAACACAUGCAAGUCGAACGACUGGCGGGCGGGUGAUUAAUGUACGGGAAACUGCCAGUUGGAGGUGACUACCUACUGGACACGGUAGUUAAUACAGCGUACCAUCGGAUCUGCCCAGGUGGGAUUAGCUUGUAGGUGAGGUACCGGCCCACCUAGGCGACGAUGCCUAGCUGGUCUGCGAGUAUGAUCAGGCACACUGGAACUGAGACACGGUCCAGACUCCGACGGGAGGCAGCAGUGGGGAAUAUUGGACAAUGGGCGAAAGCCGGAUAAAGCCAUGCCGCGUGGGUGAAGAAGGUCUUCGGAUUGUAAAGUACUUUCAGUGGGGAGGCGUUACCCUCAGAAUAAGCACCGGCUAACUCCGUGCCAGCAGCCGCGGUAAUUC